CAAGGAAUUUUCGUCAAUGGGCGCAAGCCUGAACGAGCAACGCCGCGUGCGGGAUGACGGCCUUCGGGUUGUAAACCGCUUUUUGGGGGGACGAUGAUGACGGUACCCCCGGAAUAAGCCCCGGCUAACUCUGUGCCAGCAGCCGCGGUAAGACAGAGGGGGCAAGCGUUGUCCGGAAUUACUGGGCGUACAGCGCACGCAGGUGGCCGGUUAAGUGCCUUGUGAAAGCCCCGCGCUCAACGCGGGGAGGCCAGGGCAGACUGGCGGGCUCGAGGGCUGGAGAGGGUGGUGGAAUUGCCGGUGUAGUGGUGAAAUGCGUAGAGAUCGGCAGGAACACCAAGGGCGAAGGCAGCCACCUGGACAGCGCCUGACACUCAAGUGCGACAGCGUGGGGAGCGAACCGG
rnacentral:rRNA from 1 species